GUGGCCAGGAAGCUCCCACUUUGGCUGGGCUGGGUGUGGGUGUUAAUCUUUUCCUGUCUUGUGUGUGCUGUGCUCACAAAGGCUUUUUGCUCCCUCAGGGUGAGGUGUGGUUUUGGCCGAAGAUGAGGUGUUUUGGUAGCCCUGUGGAUGCUGUGUGGUGUCUGGAAUGGGGUGUGUGUGUUCCCAUCAUGCCCCUUCCCCUCUGCCUGCAGAGCUGAGGACAGACAGGUCUGAGGAGCAGAGCAGGAGCUCUGGGAAGGAGAAAAGCAAUAUGAAGAUGGAGUGUAAGAUGAGACCAGGUAACUUCUGUGGAGGGAGACAUGCUGGACAGGGCCUAGGAUUGGGGAGACAAGCAGGGAAAAGAAGUCAUGGGGACGGAGUCCAGCCCUGAGGUGAGAUGGAAAGUGAUCAAGAGCAGUGACAGCGUGAAUCCUGUUGAUGCCAGGCAAGAGCUCCCCAACUGUGACAAGAGUAACCGUCCCUGUCGAAAUAUGUUAUGAAGUUGGGAAAUGCCCCCUACCAGCCUAUCAGGUGCGACAAGGGAAGAGCCAGACUCACUGCUGGCCUAUUGAAGGUGGCUACAGUCCCAAGGACUAUCCCAGGAACCGUGUACAAUGCAGACUUCGCCGAGAUAACACAGCAACAAUGGACAUUGCUUGACUCACAUCAUAGCAAAGGAGCUUUCUAGAAAGUUGGAAGAAACUAUGAAAGGGGGGAAGAGACAUCAUGACUUGGCAUCUCUCCCCCACAAAUCAACAGCUGGAAACACACCUGGAUGACAAAACUGAUUCAUAAAUCAGAAGAGAAUAAUAAUAAUACAUUCAAACCAAAGUC